UACGUAGGGUGCGAGCGUUAAUCGGAUUUACUGGGCGUAAAGGGCGCGUAGGCGGCCACCGCAAGUCAAUUGUGAAAUCUCCGGGCUUAACUCGGAAAGGUCAACUGAUACUGCGGGGCUAGAGUGCGGAAGGGGGCAACUGGAAUUCUCGGUGUAGCGGUGAAAUGCGUAGAUAUCGAGAGGAACACCUGCGGCGAAGGCGGGUUGCUGGGCCGACACUGACGCUGAGGCGCGAAAGCCAGGGGAGCGAACGGG
rnacentral:rRNA from 1 species